rnacentral:rRNA from 1 species
AGAUUAAGCCAUGCAUGUCUAAGGAUAAACAAUUUUUUCCGUAAACCUGCGAACGGCUCAUUAAAUCAGUUUAAAUCUACUCUGCUAAUACCUUUAAAUGGAUAACUGCAGUAAUUCUGGAGCUAAUACAUGCUAAAAACCUGAACUCUACGGAACAGGUGUAAUUAUUUGACUUAGAAACCAAUAGUAGCAAUACUCUUAAAAAUGAAUUAAAAUAACUUUAUGAAUCGCAUUAAUUUUUGUGAUGGCACGAAUGAUAUUCUGCCCUAUCAACUUUCGAUGGUAGUAUAGGGGACUACCAUGGUGAUGACGGGUAACGGAGAAUUUGGGUUUGAUUCCGGAGAAAAGGCCUGAGAGACGGCCAUUACUUCCAAGGAAGGCAGCAGGCGCGUAAAUUACCCAAUCCCAAUUUGGGGAGGUAGUGACGAGAAAUACUAGUAUUGGCCCCAAUGGGGACAAUGAUUGGAAUGAAAACAAUGUAAAUACAUUAAUGACUAACAAUUGGAGGGCAAGUCUGGUGCCAGCAGCCGCGGUAAUUCCAGCUCCAAUAGUGUAUACUAAAGUUGUUGCGUUUAAAAAGCUCGUAGUUGAAUUUCGAAAUUUGAACUUAAAUUGCAAUUUAUUGUAAUAAGAGAUACAUACUUCUUCUUAAGGGGCUAAGGCCUACUUAAAAUUUACUGUGAAAAAAUUAGAGUGUUAAAAGCAAGCAAAUGCUUGAAUAUUUCAGCAUGGGAUAAUAAAAGAUGACAGAAGUCAAUAUUUGUUGGUUUCUUUGGCUAAUGUAAUGAUUAAAAGGGACAGUUGGGGCAACUUGUAUUGGCUCGCUAGGGGUGAAAUCCUAUGAUUGAGUCAAGACAAACUACUGCGAAAGCAUUUUGCAAGGAUGUUUUCAUUAAUCAAGAACGAAAGUUGUAGGAUCGAAGAUGAUUAGAUACCGUCGUAGUUACAACCAUAAACAAUGUCGACUCAGGAUUGAUAGAUAUUAAAUGGAUGAUUCUGUCAGCACUGUGUGAGAAAUCAAAGUAUCCAGACUCCGGGGGGAGUAUGGUCGCAAGACUGAAACUUAAAGGAAUUGACGGAAGGGCACCACCAGGAGUGGAAUCUGCGGCUUAAUUUGACUCAACACGGGGAAACUUACCGGGUCCGGACUCAGCGAGGAUUGACAGAUUGAUAGCUCUUUCUUAAUUUUGAGGAUGGUGGUGCAUGGCCGUUUUUAGUUGGUGGAUUGAUUUGUCUGGUUAAUUCCGAAAACGAACGAGACCUUAACCUAUUAAAUAGUAUCAGUAAACUAGAAUGCAAAUUUGUGAUUUAAAUGAAUAAUCUUCUUAAAGGGACUCUUCAUAUUUUAGUGAAGGGAAGUUUAAGGCAAAAACAGGUCUGUGAUGCCCUUCGAUGUUCCGGGCUGCACGCGCGUUACACUGAAAUGUUCAAUGAGUUUUUAAAUUCCUUGUCUGAAAAGACUGGGCAAACUUACCAAAGCAUUUCGUGAUUGGGAUUGUGCCUUGUAAUUAUUGCACAUAAACAUGGAAUUCCUAGUAGGCGUAAGUCAUCAACUUACAUCGAUUACGUCCCCGCCCUUUGUACACACCGCCCGUCGCUGCUACAGAUCGAAUGAUCCGAUGAGGACUCAGGAUUGGAUUUCUUUUGUUGGCUGAAAGGUUAGCAAUUGGAGUUUGAGAAUUUGUUCAAAUCUUAUUAUUUAGAUGAAGCAGAAGUCGUAAACAAGGUA